AAGGAAUAUUGGUCAAUGGACGCAAGUCUGAACCAGCCAUGCCGCGUGAAGGAUGAAGGUCCUCUGGAUUGUAAACUUCUUUUAUCUGGGACGAAACACUUCUUUUCUAAGGAGCCUGACGGUACCAGAGGAAUAAGCACCGGCUAACUCCGUGCCAGCAGCCGCGGUAAUACGGAGGGUGCAAGCGUUAUCCGGAUUCACUGGGUUUAAAGGGUGCGUAGGUGGGUAUGUAAGUCAGAGGUGAAAUCCCCGAGCUUAACUUGGGAACUGCCUUUGAUACUAUAUAUCUUGAAUAUCGUAGAGGUUAGCGGAAUAUGUCAUGUAGCGGUGAAAUGCUUAGAUAUGACAUAGAACACCAAUUGCGAAGGCAGCUAGCUAUGCGAAAAUUGACACUGAGGCACGAAAGCGUGGGUAGCAAAC
rnacentral:rRNA from 1 species